GCCGGGUGUGGUGGCGGGCGCCUGUAAUCCCAGCUACUCGGGAGGCUGAGGUAGGAGAAUUGCUUGAGCCUGGGAGACAUAGGUUGCAGUGAGCCGAAAUCAUGCCACUGCACUCCAGCCUGGCCAACAGAGUGAGACUCUGUCUCAA
ensembl:misc_RNA Metazoa_SRP Metazoan signal recognition particle RNA